CCCGGUCCAAUAGAGUCGAAACAAAGCAGAAACUGGGCCUGAUCCACGAAGCUCGGCGCUCAGGCGCCCUACUUAGGGUGCCUGGGCGGUGAAAUGACCUCAUGUAAGGCUUCGGCCUCAAGUUGGGCACCCAAGCUUCGAGACCCCGUCGCCCAGGUGGCCAGAGGAGGCGCCCAGGCGGUGGACGUCGAUUUCCAACGCUUAAGCUUCCAUACAGGUCGCCCAAGCUUCAUGUUGUCCCUCCUUCUGGUG
rnacentral:lncRNA from 1 species